CCUACGGGUGGCUGCAGUGGGGAAUAUUGGACAAUGGGCGAAAGCCUGAUCCAGCCAUGCCGCGUGUGUGAAGAAGGCCUUCGGGUUGUAAAGCACUUUCAGUGGGGAAGAAAGCCUUGGGGCUAAUACCCUCGAGGAAGGACAUCACCCACAGAAGAAGCACCGGCUAACUCCGUGCCAGCAGCCGCGGUAAUACGGAGGGUGCGAGCGUUAAUCGGAAUUACUGGGCGUAAAGCGCGCGUAGGCGGUCUGAUAAGCCGGUUGUGAAAGCCCCGGGCUCAACCUGGGAACGGCAUCCGGAACUGUCAGGCUAGAGUGCAGGAGAGGAAGGUAGAAUUACCGGUGUAGCGGUGAAAUGCGUAGAGAUCGGGAGGAAUACCAGUGGCGAAGGCGGCCUUCUGGACUGACACUGACGCUGAGGUGCGAAAGCGUGGGUAGCAAACAGGAUUAGAUACCCCGGUAGU
rnacentral:rRNA from 1 species